rnacentral:rRNA from 1 species
UCCGUAGGUGGAUAAUUAAGUCAGAGGUGAAAUCCUGCAGCUCAACUGUAGAAUUGCCUUUGAUACUGGUUAUCUUGAGUCAUUAUGAAGUGGUUAGAAUGUGUAGUGUAGCGGUGAAAUGCAUAGAUAUUACACAGAAUACCGAUUGCGAAGGCAGAUCACUAAUAAUGUACUGACACUGAGGGACGAAAGCGUGGGGAGCGAACCGGAUUAGAUACCCGAGUAGUCC